rnacentral:lncRNA from 1 species
UGACAUGGUAUGACUAUUCCAAAUAGAAUUAGGAUUUUUAAAGAAAAGUUUCAACCAAUUUAUUUUAAAAGUAUUAUUAAGAGUACAGAAAUCGAUAAAGUUUAAUCCACCCUUUUCAUAGUCAUUUGUUAGCACAGACUUCUUCACAUGAUGAGUUCUAUUUUUCCAUAAGAAAUUAAAAAGUAGCUUGUCAAUCUCAGUAAUAUGUUUUUGUCCACAUACAGAGAUAGAGCUGGAUAUGUUAACCGUGAUAAACCUUCUGUCUUAGACAGUAGGGUUCUGCCUCUGAGGGAGACUAGCACUCAACACUCGCGUCUACUCUGCGAGCAGCAGUGACGUCAGCGCGUUAUCGCGCGCGCUGUCUCCGCGCGUUCACACAUCUGACAUUUUCGCAACUUCAUUAAAAAUGAAAAACUUAGAGAGAAUAUUAGCGGAGGAAGUGCGUCGGCACAUGCAUCUCUAUGAUCCGAGUAUGCGCGAUGAUAGUGACCUCCAGUUGAUUCAAAAAGCGUGGAACGAUGUCGCUGCUGCCGCGGGGAAAGACGAAGCAGAAUGCCGUAAAGUGUGGAAGUGCAUAUUCCAGAGACAGGUUUGUGGGGAUCAAGAAAAGGGUCCAUGCAAGAAACAGUGAUCCAAGUCCUUACAAGAUCAUGACAGAACUGGGAUGGUUAACCCAAUUUGUUAAACAUCGGGAAAAAGCCCCAAAUGUGAAGGAUUUAUGUAAAGUGUUCUCCGUUGAGGAACUACUGAAGACAAAUAGUUUUCCAAUCUCUCCGGCAUCAGGAACAUCAGAGACUGUGACUUCCGGCAGACCUUUACCUCUGUCCCUCAGGCCAUCAUCGCCUCUUCCACUCACCCCAUCACUCCUUUUCUACCCUGUCCGUCACCCAAACACAGUCCCUCGCCUUGUUCAAUUUCAGCUUUCCCUGCCCCAAGCAUCUCAUCCUGUUACAAUGCCUCACCAUCUUCUACUGACAUAAUACCAAAGAGAAAGUCUACCGCAGAAGACGCCUUGCUGAAGAUACUGGAGCACCUGGAGAGGGAGAGGGCCAUGCAGCAGGACAGUGAGGAUUUCAGAUUCGCUGCUGUCAUUGCAGACAUGUUGGCAAUAAUCAAUCCUCAGCUGGAGUCUGAGGUUAAGUUCAAGAUCUAUCAAAUACUGUAUGAGGCUGGGCAAAAAACACCACCCAUAACAGAUCAUGUUUUUACUGAGACUGUAGCAUUGACAAUUGUUUUUAGGAAAGAAUAUUUUUAAAUUUGUCUUUUUGCAAAUAUGCGUAUACUUCUUGUUGUGUAUUUAUGCAAAGAUGUAAAUAAGAAUUUGAAAGUAUUUUUGUUUUAUUUGUACAUUUAAACAAGUAUUUAUGUAGUACAUUCUACUGCAUAUUGAAUAAAUUUUUUUUAAUUAAACUGGAGUUUGAUUUUUUUUUUUUAAUAGAGAACAGCUUGGACAGCUUUUUAUUCUGUGUGAAUAUACUGAAAUAUAUAAUUUAUUUAUUUUUUAAUCUAAAAUGUAAAGACAUAAAAUGAACCCACAGGUCAAAGAAUAUUUGAAUAUGUAGAUUUUCAUUUAUACAGUUUAGUGUAUACUUGUCCUAUGCCACAAACAUAAGAAAAAUGGUACAAAGCAAACAGUACCUCUGGGACUAUUAAGAGACAGCAAAAUGGAAAUUUAUUGAAUGCACUUUUAAGCAUUUAUUUAUUUUAUUUUUUACACAUGGCAUUGUUGAAAGUAUGUAUAAAGGUAAUCUUUAUUAGCACUUUUUUGUUGGGGAUCAGUGUGUUAAUUUUUUUUUUUUAAAGAUCAAAUUACAGUAAAAAACAGUGAAAUAUUAUAGUUUAAAAUAAAUGUUUCUAUUUUAAUAUAAUGUAAAUGUAAUUUAUUCUUGUAGCGUAUACUUCUUGUUGUAGUAUUUAUGACAAAGAUAGUAAAUAAGUAAUUUAGAAAGUUAUUUUUGUUUU